GAAGAGCUGAUGAAUGCACUGGAAAAGACUAGACAAGAGUUAGAUUCUACCAAAGCCCGUCUUGCCUCAACACAGCAGUCUUUGGCUGAAAAAGAAGCACAUCUGGCCAACCUGAGAAUAGAGCGAAGGAAACAGCUUGAAGAAAUUCUAGAAAUGAAACAGGAAGCUUUGCUUGCUGCAAUUAGUGAAAAAGAUGCAAAUAUUGCCUUGCUUGAGCUGUCUGCUUCAAAGAAAAAGAAGACUCAAGAUGAAGUAAUGGCUCUUAAACGAGAGAAGGACAGAUUAGUACAUCAGUUAAAACAGCAGACACAAAACAGAAUGAAACUGAUGGCAGAUAACUAUGAUGAUGACCAUCACCACUACCACCACCAUCACCACCACCACCAUCAUCGAUCUCCUGGGAGGCCACAACACUCCAACCACAGACCCUCUCCAGAUCAGGAUGAUGAGGAGGGUAUAUGGGCAUAGCCGUUCCUAUAAACCAAAGUUCCAGUUUUGUUUUGAGGGAUGAUCCAGUCACUGUUGGAGGCACAUAGCCACGGCAAAAUCUCAUGCUGUACAUUGAUCACCUGUCCAACCUUUGCCUAGAGUGUGAUCCCCAGUUCCUUCAAGAGAUCCAUCUUUACCUGUCUAUAAAGAAGAAGAGGAGGAGGGAGACAUCUGGGAUAUUCAAGUAUCAAAGUUUAACACCAGAGCAGUUGUCAGAGGAACUAGCGAAAAAGGAAGAAUAAACUGUAGCACUGGAAGGUAACAAUGAUAAUCUAUUGCAUUGGAUCUCCAAACAUGACCAUGAUAUCCUGGAGAAGAUCACAGAUGCAGAAAAUGAAUGCUAAGGUUGAUAUCUAAUGAAAUGCUGCAUUAAUUGGCAUUUUCUCCAUUAUUUCUUGUAGUCUAUUGUGAAAUUAGAUACUUUGGAAAAUAAUGAAGGAGACUCAAGCAGAAAUUAUAAGAGCUUCAUUUCUGUUUUUAAUGGGUCUUGUGAGUUAUUCUGUUUUCACAAAGAAACCAUCUGUUCAGAAUAUGAUUGUUUAAUGAAGUUCAGUUAAAUAGGCUAUUUAACUAAUUUUUGGUAAAUUAAUAUUGAUUUUAAUAAGUAAUUCAGAUUCUCGUAGAUGUGGUAUCUGCAUUUGCUGAUUUUACCUAGUCUAUUCUAAAGUAUCACUUCUAUUGCACUAGAUUAUCAAAGAGGUAUUAGUAAAAUGCUAUAUAAGGGUGUUGGCAUUAACCUUACCCCCAGUUAGAUGUGGGCUUUUCCAAAAAGUAAAAACAAGCCUUUACCCUCCUCUGUUUUCUUAUAUCUACUGAUAAAAUAAUAUCAAUUAAAAAACCAAAACCAAACCAAACAAAAAACAAAUAUUGAUAAUAUAACCGGUAUUAAGCUCUGGGCCAGGUUGGAAAUGAAAUCAAUUUUUGGUACUAAUAACUGAUGAAAAAGAUUAGCUUUAUGAAAAUAUGGUGUGUGUCUCUGACAAUGCAUAGGACAUCUAAUUUGAACAUAAAUAUAUGAUUAUAUACAAGAUGUAUCUAUUCCGGGAUGGUAAAAGCUUGAGGCGUAUAUAAAUACAUAUGUAUGUAUAUAUAUAUGGACAUGUACACAAGGAUGUAUCAACCUUUUACCAUCCAAAUGCAUACAUGUUUUCAAUGAUAAAAGCUGGGACUCUUAAAAAACAAACAAACAAAAAACAAAAAUAAAGAUAAGAUUGCUGUGAAUACAGUAUAUGCACUAGGUCUCCUGUAAAUGUGGAACUGUUUGUUAUUGUUCUCUACAUUGAAAAACAGUCUCCAACAUGGACCCCAAUGAAUCUUAGAUGUUAAAGAAAAUACCAAUGAACAAAUAGCACUUAAAGGCUGUUUGUGUCAACAAAAUGUGUCUAGUAAAAUAAAUUUAAAGCACAUGCAAGGAAAAAUAAAAAUGUGAAGUCAUUACAUUCAGUGAGAGACUAUUAACUGACAGUCAGAUCUCUACAACUUCUCAAGGAGAAGUUCCUUCUGACUCCACGAACAUUUUCAGUCAGUCUGGCAAACAUGUGCAAAAAUGUUUGGCUGUUUUGUUGAGGCAUCUUUUUGUCCAUGGAAGAAAUGCUUCCAUGCUGAUGGCAGUGGGAAGAGAAUAUCUGCAUUUUUAAAGGACAAACAAUAAAUUUAAGCAUGGGUGGCCUUAAUCCUUAGUAGUUUUUCUUUGCUGCUGUAAAAAAAAAAUAAAUCUCAAUGGAUACUCCUGAAGUCUUGCACUGAAUUUAGAAAAAUUAUUUUUUGAACCUGUGGUGCGAUUAACUCCUACAUGAGCCAUACAUAGUAACCCCUUUAAAAUUAUUAUCUAGAGAUGAUAUUUUAUUUACUUGUACCAUGAUUCUUGGUGCAAUCAAAGAGCAAUUUAUUCGAGCAGGAGCCCUGCUGGAUGUUACUGUCUUCAGUAAAUAGAGUAAAAUGUAUAGAAUUAGCAUAGCGUAGAUAAUCCCAAUUUCAUUCAUGUUUAAAAAGUUUGUCCUUUAACUAUCAAUGGCAUUUUAGAUCUUUGUUUUUGAAACAGCAAAGCUUUGAGGAGUAUAUUUAGCACAUAUGACAAAUGUUGCACUCGGAAACUCAGACAACAAAACUGGUUUCUCAUGACAAAUUUGUUGUCGCAGUAGGGGACAAUCGUCUGUGUCUCUUACAAUCAGGUCUUUACCUUAACUCUGCAACCGAAUACUUGAAGUAGGAUGUAAACUAGGGGGAAAAUAGGGUCACAGAUACAAAGCUGUAUAGUUAGAUAUUUAUAUGUACGUGCCAAUUUUGUCACAGGUAUUAUUUUAGGGGCAUUUUUGCUCCACUCAUGUUGGUAAGAGUAUUGAUCUAAACUUUUAUCAGGGCCUAAAAGUUAGCCCCUUAAAGAGGAAAAUUUUGUCUAACAUUGCUUUUUUCCUUUCUUGCUUAUUUUUUUUUCUUUAUUUUCAUUUCAUGUGAUACUCUAUGAUAUUUGGAGAAAAUCUUUCAUAUACUAAAAUAGAAUCUCGGGGUUUACAAUAAACACUGUGAUGUUGGGAAGUAUUUUAUUUCAGCAAUGUUUGGUAGAUUUUUUUUUCCCCCUCUAAGUGUAAUGAAGCAAACCAACUUUUGGUUAGCAUUUAAGAUAAUGAUUAUUAUUUUAAUGUGAGAUCAGUCUUGUACUGCACAUUCUUUCUUUCAUUUAAAUGUACAGUAUGAAUUUUGUAUUUAAUGAAUUUUGUGUAUCCAGUAUGCACGUACCUGCACAUUGACUUUCAUUUGAAAGUGGGUUUCAAUUUACUUUUUAAACAGUGUUUAUGAAAAGACCUCAGAUGUGCUGACACAAACUAUAUCCGCAAUGUUUUUUUUUGUGUGUGUAGGGUGACGUUUGAAUGUGAUGUUCUGCAGCAAUGGGUCAGUAUUCCCUAUUUACCUUAGAUCCUCAUUUGAUAGUGCUUCUUGUAAUAAUUUUUUCAAGUGAGUGGCAUGUUCUGGAUUGUGAUAUUGAUAUAUGGUUAAGGACAUUGAUAUGAAACUAAGGAAUUCCUAGAAAUUACCAGUGGGCAUGUAUUAGACAGUCAUUGUAAUUUAAUGUCUAGUAGAAGUGUAAAGUACCAAGGUAUUUAGAGUUCAUGACAUUGUUAUCAUGUGUAUGGGAAGUAUUUAGUGUUGAUCAGCUUGUUUAUAUUCAUCAAAUAAACUUUGUUUCUUUCUGAAA